UAGGGAAUUUUCGUCAAUGGGGGGAACCCUGAACGAGCAAUGCCGCGUGUGUGAAGAAGGUCUUCGGAUCGUAAAGCACUGUUGUAAGUGAAGAAUGCCAUAUAGAGGAAAUGCUAUGUGGGUGACGGUAGCUUACCAGAAAGCCACGGCUAACUACGUGCCAGCAGCCGCGGUAAUACGUAGGUGGCAAGCGUUAUCCGGAAUCAUUGGGCGUAAAGGGUGCGUAGGUGGCACGAUAAGUCUGAAGUAAAAGGCAACAGCUCAACUGUUGUAUGCUUUGGAAACUGUCGAGCUAGAGUGCAGAAGAGGGCGAUGGAAUUCCAUGUGUAGCGGUAAAAUGCGUAGAUAUAUGGAGGAACACCAGUGGCGAAGGCGGUCGCCUGGUCUGUAACUGACGCUGAGGUUCGAAAGCGUGGGUAGCAAACAGGAUUAGAUACC
rnacentral:rRNA from 1 species